GUCUCCGAUGUCCCCCCCGCCACCCUUCCACAGUCUGCAGUCGCUCGGCGGCUGGUGUGGCAGGCAGAGUGGAAGGAGAGGAGAGAGAAAGAGUGAGGGGAGAGCAAGGGUUACAUCAAGGCUGCUCCCUGGACCGUGCAAACAAGUCUAGACCAGUGACCUGUUCAAUGGCUCCUUUUGAGGAGCGGUGCAAGUUCGGUCAGGGCGAGGAGAAAGCCAGGCGGGCCCUUCUUUUCAGUGCCGGAGCAGCUCAAAGCCCACGGCUGCCAGGAGAUGGGAAGAGAGUGAGAUUACUCCAUACCGUGUAAGGCACACAAUCAACAAGCCUCCGUCAGUCAAGGCGACUCCAGUGCAGGCCAGGGCCUUCCCACAUGAAAAAAUACACUGAACAAAAAUAUAAAUGCAACAUGUAAAGUGUUGGUUCCAUGUUUUAUGAUCUGAAAUAAAAUAUUCCAAACAUUUUCCAUAUGCACAAAAGCUUAUUUCUCUAAAAUGUUGUGCACUCAUUUGUUUACAUCCCUGUUAGUGAGCAUUUAUCCUUUGCCAAGAUAAUCCAUCCACCUGACAAGUGUGACAUAU
rnacentral:lncRNA from 1 species